CACGCAUUCGGUCAUCGCUUAUUUUUGGUUGGACGACGAGUUUCUGGCUCUUGCAGUCGCAUACAUAUAUGUAUGUAUGCGCAUAUAUGUAUGCGACGAGAUGCAUGGCAUCGAGUAAUCUACCUCAAUGGUAAGGGCGACGGUUGUAGACACUGGACACUGUGAGAUUAGCAGUAUUUAAUCUGCGCAUAAAACGGUUCGCAAAAUCCCAAGGCGGAAAAUUUGUUAAAUAUUUUGGAAUAUCUCGUCAAAUUUGAAAACUUCCCGCUCGAUACAUUAUCAUUCAGUCGUACUAUCUGCUGAUGGCACUCCACCAUUUGACACAACCGCAUAUAAGAUCGAAAUAGUUCAUACUAUUCACCUUAUUAAACCCUAGGUCCUCUGCUCACUCGAACAUAAUGGCCAUAUCCCCAGCCCCAAUUCCCGUAAUGCUCCGCUUCUUCCACUUGUCCACCCCAAUCCUCAUCGAACCUUGCAUUACCCACGACGUCCUCCUCCGUCUAAUCUAGAACGA
rnacentral:sRNA from 1 species